CCUACGGGAGGCAGCAGUGGGGGAUAUUGCACAAUGGGGGGAACCCUGAUGCAGCGACGCCGCGUGGGUGAAGAAGCGCCUCGGCGCGUAAAGCCCUGUCAGCAGGGAAGAAAAUGACGGUACCUGAAGAAGAAGCCCCGGCUAACUACGUGCCAGCAGCCGCGGUAAUACGUAGGGGGCAAGCGUUAUCCGGAUUUACUGGGGGUAAAGGGGGCGGAGACGGCGGUGCAAGCCAGGUGUGAAAGCCCGGGGCCCAACCCCGGGACUGCUCUGGGAACUGCUUGGCGGGAGUGCAGGAGGGGCAGGGGGAAUUCCGGGGGUAGCGGUGAAAUGCGUAGAGAUCAGGAGGAACACCGGUGGCGAAGGCGGCCUGCUGGACUAAAACUGACGUUGAGGCCCGAAAGCGUGGGGAGCAAACAGGAGUAGAUACCCCAGUAGUC
rnacentral:rRNA from 1 species